GAAUUUGAUCGUGGCUCAGAACGAACGCUGGCGGCAUGCCUUACACAUGCAAGUCGAACGCGAAUUUACCUUCGAGUAUUAGUAGAGUGGCAAACGGGUGAGUAACGCGUGGGAAUCUACCUUUAGGUGCGGAAUAGCCUCGGGAAACUGGGAUUAAUACCGCAUGAUGUCUUCGGACCAAAGAUUUAUCGCCUAAAGAUGAGCCCGCGUCAGAUUAGCUAGUUGGUGGGGUAAAAGCCUACCAAGGCAACGAUCUGUAGCUGGUCUGAGAGGACGAUCAGCCACAUUGGGACUGAGACACGGCCCAAACUCCUACGGGAGGCAGCAGUGGGGAAUAUUGGACAAUGGACGAAAGUCUGAUCCAGCAAUGCCGCGUGAAUGAUGAAGGCCUUAGGGUUGUAAAGUUCUUUAAGUGGGGAAGAUAAUGACGGUACCCACAGAAUAAGCACCGGCUAACUUCGUGCCAGCAGCCGCCGUAAG
rnacentral:rRNA from 1 species